GGGACAGCAGCGAUGCCUGUGGUGGGUGAUCCUUGAAAGAGCUCCAGCAUCUUUGGCUGAAGACUUCAGCUGUCUGGGCACCCCGGUGAUAUCGAGGGGCUCCAGAGGGGUUCUAUGGGUAACUAAAGCCACCCACAGAUGUGGACUUCAGUGGAAGCUUAGGGUGACCUGUGACAAAAGAUGGUUGGAGAACAGACUUAGAAUAUGUGGUAAAAUUCAUGACAAAAAGUUGUUUCAUUUUCAGAAGAUAGCAAUUAACCCAGAAGCUCCCAACUGGUCAACGUGUAGAGAAUACAGACUGUUGGGGUCCAGACCUAAAUGGGAUGUACAUAUUACACCCGCUGCCCCAAGACUCAAGGAUCUUCACAGAAAUGGAGCAGACAGAAUGUAAGAACCAGAAGUGUCAAGAACAUCAAGGAAACAGUAUUUUCCAGAAACAACAGGGCAGUUGUACACGUGAACUCACAGAAAUUAUGACAGCAUGCGCAAGACCAAAAACAAAAAACAAAAACCAACCAAACAAACAAAGACAAGGAAAGCUUUACUCAAAACUCUAACAACGUCAUUAGGAAACCUUUGGAAAGAUGACGAGCCAAACCCAUGCAGGGACCUCUGAGACAUGUCCCUAUUCCUGGCUUGAGUUGAUUCGGAGACAGCUUGAGAAUUUCUGUAUUUUGUGUGGUAACAUCUUAGCAGUGUUUUCUAACCAUUCAUGUUUUUACCUGGUCACUAUAAUGAAGAAGAUAUAAGAAAGUGCGACAUGUGUGACUCAGAGAAUUAGCUUCCCACGACCCCCAAACACACAGGAAUACAAUCUUGCUUCAUACGAAUGCAUACAUAUCCUUACAUUCUUUAAGCCAAUGCAAAUUUUGUGUACCCUUAA